AUCAAUGUGCUUACAGCGUUUGUGAUA
rnacentral:sRNA from 1 species